AUUGAACGCUGGCGGCAUGGCUAAAACAUGCAAGUCGAACGUGUGCAGCAAUGCAUAAGUGGCGAAAGGGUCAGUAAUGCGAUCGAACGUACCCUGAGGUGGAGGAUAGGGCGGGGAGACUCGCCAUAAUACUCCAUGAUGUCCUCGGACCAAAGGUUUACCGCCUUGGGAGCGGCGAUCGUCCUAUCAGGUAGUUGGUGAGGUAAAGGCUCACCAAGCCGAAGACGGGUAGCAGGUGUGAGAGCACGACCUGCGACAUCGGGGACUGAAGACA
rnacentral:rRNA from 1 species